rnacentral:lncRNA from 1 species
UGCCUCAGUUCAGAGACUGUGAAUAGUGCUGCUUUGUGUCUGUCGUGGUGAUUAAUAUAUUUCUUGGUAAUAACCUGGUAUAAUGUACAAAGCUGUAUGGUAAAUCUGUAGAGUGCACUGCCCUAGAACAAUUCAGUGAUACUUAACCCGGUUGCAUGAAUGGUAGCGUCUUCUGUUUGGACCACUGAAAAGUUAGACAUGUAAGAGGUGUCUAAUGAACCAGAAUAUUCAAGGGACUAGAUAGAAACAAUAGCCUUAUGAAUAUACAUUGAAUUCAAUAACAAUUGUUUUGCUUUUUUCUCUGCUCAUUUUGAAUUGCUCCUCAUGGAAGCCAGCUUUAGCUACACAAGGAAUGGAGAGACAAUGGAAUUGUGGCUAAGUGAAGCGUAUUCUUCCUGCAGUUUCUCUGAUGCUUUCCUGGAACUGGUAAGAGAAAAGAAACCAGAAAAUUUGGGUACUGCUUUUAGUGUUGGACCUGCUGGAGGCUGGAAAUGAUGGUGCUGGUGGAAGAGCACAUUUGGGGAGCAGAGUUAAGCUUGUUGUGACUGUUUCCCUACGAACCAUAGGCAUGCUGACUGUGAGGUAUGCAUCUCUGGUGGAAGUAGAAGAAAAGCCAUUUUUGUUUCCUUGUUUGGAGGGAGGGAUGCUGUGUGCAACUGUGGGUAGUGUCACUGAUACACACUCCAGUGUGCAGUCUGUAUUUGGGUGCAUUAAAGCAGAAAUAAGUUCCUGAAUUUAGGUGCUGCUAACUCCAAGACCCUGUUUUAUCAGUUACUGUUCAGCAAAGCUGAGUUAGUAGACUUGACUCACAUUAUUUAAGACAAGUAAUAUUUGGUCUCUCUUUUCAAAUUAUUUGGAACACACACUCCCUUCCUCCACUUUAAGCUCCAAAGCUGCAAAAUAAUUGCUCCUUAACUGGGCUUUGGUCUUUGCUGAAUUCAGUUACUCUGACUUAUUCUUGCUGUCCCUUUUCAGAGGGAUGGUGCAAAGUGUGAUUUGUCUAUACAUCCUAUGCAGAAGGAAAGGAGCUUAUAUGGUUUUGCUUCUCAUCUCUUUACUCCUAUUAAAUCAAUUAGCUAAGAUCGAGAAUUCAGCUAUAAGGCAUGCUGAAAAUCUUGUUCUCUAGUAAAUUCAUCACUUUCUGUGUCACUUGAUAUUAUUUUGUCCUCCCUUAUCAACUAGUUUUUUUUACAUAGUGGGAAUGCUGUAGUAUAAGAGACCUAUUUUGUGUGUACUACAGCACAAAUCAGUUUAAGAUGGAGGGAAUAAAAAAAAAAAAAAAAGUUCA